rnacentral:rRNA from 1 species
GAUGAACGCUGGCGGCGUGCUUAACACAUGCAAGUCGAACGGAAAGGCCCAAGCUUGCUUGGGUACUCGAGUGGCGAACGGGUGAGUAACACGUGGGUGAUCUGCCCUGCACUUCGGGAUAAGCCUGGGAAACUGGGUCUAAUACCGGAUAGGACCACUUCUUGGAUGUUGUGGUGGAAAGUUUUUUCGGUGUGGGAUGAGCUCGCGGCCUAUCAGCUUGUUGGUGGGGUAAUGGCCUACCAAGGCGUCGACGGGUAGCCGGCCUGAGAGGGUGUACGGCCACAUUGGGACUGAGAUACGGCCCAGACUCCUACGGGAGGCAGCAGUGGGGAAUAUUGCACAAUGGGCGCAAGCCUGAUGCAGCGACGCCGCGUGUGGGAUGACGGCCUUCGGGUUGUAAACUCCUUUCGCUAGGGACGAAGCGUUUUGUGACGGUACCUGGAGAAGAAGCACCGGCUAACUACGUG